ACCAGACUCCUACGGGAGGCAGCAGUGGGGGAUAUUGCACAAUGGGGGGAACCCUGAUGCAGCGACGCCGCGUGGGUGAAGAAGCGCCUCGGCGCGUAAAGCCCUGUCAGCAGGGAAGAAAAUGACGGUACCUGAAGAAGAAGCCCCGGCUAACUACGUGCCAGCAGCCGCGGUAAUACGUAGGGGGCAAGCGUUAUCCGGAUUUACUGGGUGUAAAGGGGGCGCAGACGGCGAUGCAAGCCAGGAGUGAAAGCCCGGGGCCCAACCCCGGGACUGCUCUUGGAACUGCGUGGCUGGAGUGCAGGAGGGGCAGGCGGAAUUCCUAGUGUAGCGGUGAAAUGCGUAGAUAUUAGGAGGAACACCGGCGGCGAAGGCGGCCUGCUGGACCGUAACUGACGUUGAGGCUCGAAAGCGUGGGGAGCAAACAGGAUUAGAUACCCGUGUA
rnacentral:rRNA from 1 species